GCCCCUUGGGUUUUCCCUGACCGGCUUCUUCCCUCCCGCUGAUUAGGUUUUUUGAUUAUUAAUUUUGAUCAGUUGGUGGUAGUGGUGGUGGUGAGAUUGUUGCGCAUGAUAUGUUUCUAUGAAGGCAUCUGGUUCUUUGGAGUCUGGAUAUGGUGUUGAUGAUGCAUUUGUGCUGGCUCAGGAGGUGAAGACGAGGGGGUUUGAUUUGUUGGUGGAGAUUAGCCUGACAUAGGUGUUUCUGAUUUAUGAGAAACAUCCUCUUGCGGCCAUGAAGGAAGAGGGGAAACCAGAUGCCCAGCUCUUCGAUCUCCUAUCAACCCUUCUCCAGCAGGUAUCCUUCUAGCCAUUCCAUUUCAUCCUUGAAUUGUUUCUAUCAUUGCUUUUAUGAUUUUGGGAUGCUCAAUCUCAUGCCAUUUCAAGGGAUAGUACGCAUCGAUCUUUGUUGAAGGAUCACAUUCACUAUUUGAUUUAUUUGACACCAAGGGAUCUUCCAAUUUGUCAGUUGAUUGUGUGGUUAUGAACUUGCUCAGUCAUCAGACUCCCCAAAUUUUUUUCUGUUUUAGAUAAAUUUCAUUAGUUCGGGACUAUAAAAUUGCAGUUUUUUUAUUUUGAUAUUUAUAUUAGUAUUUGAGGUUCUGCAAUCUGGAAAAUAGUUUUACUGGGGAGUUCUAGUUGGGGAUAUUGGCUGGUGAAGUAUUGAUGUUGCUGAGAAAACAAUGGCAAUCUUCGCGCAAGAUUAUAUAUUAAGAUGGUUGCAUUGUAGUUUGGUGAAACUAGAGAACUCAUUGAGGAUUUUUUUUUAUAAUUGUGUUCAAGAAGAAAGAAUCUUUCUAAAAGAAAGGGGAUAUCUGUUUUGCUGAUUUAUUUAGUUUGUUUUGGCUAUGAACUUAUUCAGUCCAUGAAUCAUGAGCAUUAAGGAGAGUAUAAACUCGAGGUAGUUCUAUGGCCCUUUUUACUAGCAUGAGUAAAUUAAAUGAUGAUGAAGAUUCUUUGGGAUUAGCUGACAAAUAAGGUUUUUAUUUUCGCUGAGUUUUGCUGGAUAAGAUAUUGGCUUAUGGCAAUUGUUGGAUCUAGUGAUGAAGCUGUUGCCAGUUUUGAAGGAAUUGGGGUCCUUACCCCAAGGUAUAAACUAUUGAACCAAGUGAUUGCUUGUUCUAUGCUAUGAUAUUUUUCCUUUGAUCUAACACCAGCAUUUCUUUUUUUUCUUUUCUUCUUUUUUUUUUCAAUUUUAUUCAAAGACUAAAGCAAAAAUCUCUCCCUGCAAGGCCCGAUACAGUGUUGAGCUUCAUCUCUCGUUCUUGAGGUUACAAGGACAGGCUAAUGAUUUUAAAAUACAAUACAGCAGUGUUGUCUGACUCCUUCUACUGCCAAAGCUCACAGGAUUGUACAAUCAAGGUAUGGGAAACAACUCAGGGAAAGUUGAUCUGUGAAUUAAAGGGCAUGGACAUUGGGUUAACUCUCUUGCUUUGAGCACUGAAUAUACUUCGAAUUGGUCCUUUUGAUCACACUAGAAAGACAUAUUCAUCCCCAGAGGGAAAAAAAGCGGUGGGUAUUGAGUUUUUGUGGUAUGCUGUUCUUACCAUGUCAUUUGCACGCUUCAAUUUAACUAGUCGUCUAUAGUUGAUUAUCCUUUGUUUUGAUUAGCAUCAGUUUAAGAUCUAUGUUUAUCAUGCAAACAAGAUAAAAUUUGUUCUUUUUAGUGGGAUUA